rnacentral:SRP_RNA from 16 species
GGUCCGGCAACGUAAGGCUGCCAAACUGGCUCAGAAGCAGGAAGCGGCAGCAGCGGCAGCAAAU